rnacentral:misc_RNA from 1 species
CUCAGUCCUCGCCGAGCAUCUCCUCGUUACGCUUUGAACCCACUCUGCCUCUGUGAAUGAACUGCGAGGGGCUCUUAUGUGCUACUUUUCCAAUAGGGUUUACGUUUCUAAUGGCAAAGCUCGCCAUUUUCGGCUUCUGAUAUCCUGUUUCAUAUCCUGGGAGAAAAAUUUUGGAGCACAUUAAUUGCUGAUCCGUGGAUCAGAGAUACGACUACAUAAUUUGAGUUUUGUAAUUCUGCAAAUAUUAGACGCCUUAUUUUUGUCAUUGAGCCAAGGAUGUUGUUUACAGAAAUCUCCUCUCUCUUUCCUUUGACAUGUCUCUGUGAACUGAUAUGGUCAUUUUUUGGGUGUGGG